CCUACAGGUGGCUGCAGUGGGGGAUAUUGCACAAUGGGGGAAACCCUGAUGCAGCGACGCCGCGUGUGGGAAGACGGUCCUCUGGAUUGUAAACCACUGUCCCCAGGGACGAAGAUGACGGUACCGUGGGAGGAAGCUCCGGCUAACUACGUGCCAGAAGCCGCGGUAGUACGUAGGGAGCGAGCGUUGUCCGGAAUUACUGGGUGUAAAGGGAGCGUAGGCGGGGAUGCAAGUUGGGUGUCAAAACUACCGGCUCAACUGGUAGUCGCACUCAAAACUGGAGCUCUUGAGUGAAGUAGAGGCAGGCGGAAUUCCUAGUGUAGCGGUGAAAUGCGUAGAUAUUAGGAAGAACACCGGUGGCGAAGGCAGCCUGCUGGACUUUUACUGACGCUGAGGCUCGAAAGUGUGGGGAGCAAACAGGAUUAGAUACCCGGGUAGUC
rnacentral:rRNA from 1 species